GAUUAACGCUGGCGGCGUGCAUAACACAUGCAAGUCGAACGAUGAAACUUUAAUGAACCCUUCGGGGAGAAUUAAAGCGGAUUAGUGGCGAACGGGUGAGUAACGCGUGAGUAACCUGCCUUACACAAGGGGAUAGCCUUUGGAAACGAAGAAUAAUACCCUAUAAAACCAUAAAAGCACAUGCAAUUAUGGUCAAAGUGAUAGCGGUGUAAGAUGGACUUGCGUCUGAUUAGCUAGUUGGUGAGAUAAAAGCCCACCAAGGCAACGAUCAGUAGCCGGCUUGGGAGCGCGUACCGCAACCUUGGGAGUGGGACACGGCCCAGACUCUUACGGGAGGCAGCAGUGGGGAAUUUUGCACAAUGGGGGAAACCCUGAUGCAGCGACGCCGCGUGAUUUAGAAGGCCUUCGGGUUGUAAAAAUCUUUUGUAUAGGAAGAAAAUGACAGUACUAUACGAAUAAGGUCCGGCUAAUUACGUG
rnacentral:rRNA from 1 species